GACGAGGGACCCUAGCGUUGUUCGGAAUCAUUGGGCGUAAAGCGGGUGUAGGUGGUUUAGUAAGUCAGGUGUGAAAUCCCAGGGCUUAACCCUGGACGUGCAUUUGAUACUGCUAAGCUUGAGUGUGGGAGAGGUUAGUAGAAUUCCUGGUGUAGUGGUGAAAUACGUAGAUAUCAGGAGGAAUACCAGAGGCGAAGGCGGCUAACUGGCCCAACACUGACACUGAGACCCGAAAGCGUGGGGAUCAAACAGG
rnacentral:rRNA from 1 species